rnacentral:rRNA from 1 species
GGCCCGCACAAGCGGUGGAGCAUGUGGUUUUAAUUCGGAAGCAACGCGCAGAACCUUACCUGGGUUUGAAACUGUACAGGCAAGGCUCAGAGAUGAGCCCCCCUCUUCGGAGGUCUGUACAGAGGUGCUGCAUGGCUGUCGUCAGCUCGUGUCGUGAGAUGUUGGGUUAAGUCCCGCAACGAGCGCAACCCUUGUUCACAGUUACUAACGGGUAGAGCCGAGAACUCUGUGGAGACUGCCGGUGAUAAACCGGAGGAAGGUGGGGAUGACGUCAAGUCCUCAUGGCCUUUAUGUCCAGGGCUACACACGUGCUACAAUGGACGGUACAGAGAGUCGCGAGACCGCGAGGUGGAGCUAAUCUCAAAAAGCCGUUCUCAGUUCGGAUUGCACUCUGCAACUCGAGUGCAUGAAGUUGGAAUCGCUAGUAAUCGCGGAUCAGCACGCCGCGGUGAAUACGUUCCCGGGCCUUGUACACACCGCCCGUCACAUCACGAAAGUCGGUUGCACUAGAAGUCGGUGGGCUAACCCGCAAGGGGGGCAGCCGCCUAAAGUGUGAUCGGUAAUUGGGGUGAAGUCGUAACAAGGUAGCUGUAGGAGAACCUGCGGCUGGAUCACCUCCUAAUCUAGAUGCAUCGCGAGUCGGG